CUUGCAUUUUGACACAGACUUCACUCCAUUCAGAUUUUCAUUUUACAAGUGGGGUGGUGGAUGACAAUCAACAUAAGGAGCCUGUUUAUGAUUCAAGCCCCCAAGCAGUUGACAAGUNNNNNNNNNNNNUCUGAUACACAAGGCGUGACAUCAGAAAUGGGUUCGCCUCCAGCAUUAGCUGAAUUUUCUGGUAAAGAAUCUGAAGUGCAUACUGAGAACAUGGGGAAAAAUACUUCUGGCC
rnacentral:misc_RNA from 1 species